CGUUUCUUCAGACGAGAUUGUCUUCUCAUCUUCCAUUCCUUCUUCCAUCUCUCAUAGUUAUAUAUUCACCCAUAAAGUCACUUACAAUAGAUCGAUUCGAUUAUUUGAUUCAAUAUCAUAACCUCCACUUCGGUUCCAAAUACAAUUUUCCAGUUUUAAAAUUUACUCCGACUCGGGAGUACUCCGGUAAAUCAUGGGGUUUGGGAUUUCCGUCUAACCAUGUAUCAGAUCCCUGUUUGUUUCAUCAUCCCUCAAACCAGAGAAAAAUGAGUCGUACCAUGGUGAAGAAGGCCUCAAACCCUAACCAAAUCAGAACCGGAGCUGAACGCAAGAGAUCUUUGGGGAGAUCUUUGGCCUCAGGUAUGUCCUUGAAGACGACAGUGCCGGCGAAUGCAGCGCAGCCCAUACUCGAAAGAAAUGAACGUCAUUGAUGGUUGCUGGCUCAUGGCACCGCAACUGGCUCGAGAAUAUCUUGAACCCAACCACGGAUCAGCUACAAGGCCAUCUUUCCUCUGUUUUCCUAGUAUGCAGCUGGCGAGGAAAUGAUUGUCUAACUCGAUAUCGUGACCCUUUCCCUGUCUGUAUGGAAAGAAAAUGCACUGUAGCUUCUGGUGAUGUAUCAAUUCUUCACUACCGAGCUUAACUAGAACACUGAAUUGAUUGUGUAGAUAUAACAUGAUCUGGUCAUGAGUUCUGACCUAGGAACCAUAAGCAUAACAUCGUCAAAGACAUCACAAGCCACACCAGGGUCAUACCCAUGCCCUCUCUCUCUCUCUCUCUCUCUCUCUCUCGCUACGACAUUAUCUAUUUCACCAAGCUUUCCAAUACAACAACAACAAGACAAGCAACAUCAUCAAGAACAAGUAUGCAGAAUGCAGCGAAGGCUCUAUACUACAAGUUGUUACUAAAAAUAAAUAGAAUAAGCAGUUAACUGAAACUCCUUUAAGAGCUUCUGUGUCAUCUACUCUAUAUGAAGUAGAGGGUGAGAGAGUUGGUGUAUCUGUUAAGAGUGGGCUAUAUGAGGUACUAUCGUUCUCUGCACUGCAGUGUUUUAGAAUUUUCAUUUAAAUUUUAUCAUGUUGAAAUUUCAGAGUCUUUAUAUCCAAUCAAUGUAUCUUACCAAGGAACCAGAAUAGUG